UCUCUAGUUUUUCUAGAGAGAGAAUAUCCUCUCUUUUGCCUUUGAUCUAUGGUGUUCUCGAGUCUUCACCGAGUGUCUCCGAUGGCCAUCCCCUGCCCUCUGGGUAGGGAAGGAUGUUUUCUCCGACUGGUUGAUGGGUCCCUCUCCCCUUCCUAGUCUAGUUUAUUCAUAGUUUUGUGAGGUUGUUUUGUUUUACAGGUCUUAAGCUUUUCUAGGUGAGGAUGGAAUAGAGACAAUCUAGUCUAUGGUGCUGUGUCGAUUGCUAUAUUGGGGCCUAGAAAGUUCUAUGCUUGGUGGUGCCUUUCAACUAAGUAGGAAGAAUCAAAGAUGGCUUCUCAAGGAUUGAAGACCUGGCGUUAAAAUUUGGUUGGCCGGCUCUCCAUGACUAGAUCGAGACUGAAGACAUGGCCCCUGCUUCCUCUUUUUCCUAAGUUGGUGUUCCUGAGUUACCUAUCGGAAGCGGUGGUUCUAUUUUGCAAGGAUAGAGUUGUGAUCCUCUUAUUGUGGCUUAUCUUGCUUUGGCGAGUUGAGGCACUGGCAGAAGAUCUCCUUUCUAGCUUUUGGUGGAUUCUCCAAUUAAGCUUCCAACAACAGUGCAUGACAUUGAUCCUGAGUUCUGCUUGGGUGGCUUUUGGUCUAGGGUUUCGUUGGAUGGGACAAUGGGCUUUUACUAAAAGUUUUACUCG
rnacentral:misc_RNA from 1 species